UUUUUUUUUUUUAAACAUUUUAUUUAUUUAUUAUAUAUUAUGAUUACACUGUCGCUAUCUUCAGACACACCAGAAGAGGGCAUCAGACUCAUUUCAGAUGGUUGUGAGCCACCAUGUGGUUGCUGGGAUUUGAACUCAGGACCUUGGGAAGAGCAGUCGGUGCUCUUAACCACUGAGCCAUCUCUCCAGCCCCAUACUAUCAGUACUUAAGAGACUAAAACUGGGAGAAUUGACACCAGCCUGGGCUCCCCCCUUCCCCUUAUUUUUUAUUAAUGUGUAUGAGGGUUUUGCCUAAAUGUAUGUGCCGUGCCAUGCAUUUUUUUCGAGACAGAGUUUCUCUGUGUAGUCCUCCUGACUGUUCCUGAACUCACUUGUAGACUAGGCUGCCCUCAGAGAGAUCCCUUGCCUCUUUAAUCCCAAAUGGCUGGGAUUAAAGUGUGUCACCACAAGGCUGUAGCCAUUGAUCUCUCCAGUUCUCAUCUCGAUUUCUCAGACCUUGUUUCAAAGAUUUAAAAAAAAAAAAAAAAA
rnacentral:lncRNA from 1 species